rnacentral:lncRNA from 1 species
CUCCUUGGCUUUCGGAAGCACCACCAUCCGUCCCUCUUCCUCUUGUGCUGCCGUUGGUCAUCUUAACCAGCAAUUGGUGGGAAUGGAACGUGAGGAGUGGUCAGUGGCUCAGUAGGAAGAAAUUAUUUUGUUUUCUUGCUAUUUCAAUCACAGUUUCUGGUUCUACUUUUUAUAAUAAAUUCUAUUGAUAAAUGAUGAGUUGAUGACUAGGCAUUAAAAAACAAACAUAAAUAAAUUUAAUUAACAAUAAUAUAAAACAAAAAAUAUCAUAUAUGAAAUUAACAGAUUAUAAAGUUAAUUAUGUUUUAAUUAUAAAUGAGGUUAUUAUUUUUACCAUUGAUUUCUAAAUUAUAUUUAAAUUUUUAACAUUUACUCAAUUUUAUUUUUUAUUGUGCUCUUAAGUAGGGGUGAGCUGGUACGGGGAUGUGGACGGGUGGGGAUUGCGUUCCCCGUCCCUGGGUCAGAUUUCGAAUCCGGAUAGCAAAAAUGAUAUUCAAAAAUUAUUCGGAUUUAGAUAUCUGUAAUAUCCGU